UCACCAUCCGCCUCGCUGGAGUGACUGUUUCCGCUUCACCAUACUCCGAGGCUCGCUACUAUCUGGACGAGCUUAUUCUGAGCUCGGAUCCUGCCGAAAUUCAGACCUACUUCGACUGUACGCCUAGAGUUCCAAGUUCGAGUCCAGAAACCUCAGAUCGAAGGAUGGUGCCACGUCCGACGUUCCGCUUGUUGAUCCAAAGGAUAAUUUCAAGCUGGACGAUCGGGAUAGACGAGAGGAGGAAGACUCUUCGGACGAGGAUGACUAGCCUCCGUGGCUAGGACGGUUAUUGUAGCCAAGGUAUACCUAACCCUAGCACCACGGUAACACCCCUGUUUGAGAGUAUAAUCACCACAGGAGUUUGUGUUGGAACGAGAUAUUGCAUGGAACGCUGUUGCUUGAGUGUCUCUUUUCUGAUGAAUUUAACAUCUGCAGCCCACGACUCACUGCAUAUAGAAAAAUGAAGUUAUUAAAGGAGAGUAUAAUUUACAGUUUACUGUAAUGUCGCAAAGAAGACAGGUAGUUCCAAUUAAACAGGGUAUUUUGCUGUUAUUGUUCUUUGUGUUUUUCUAGUUUUUUAUGCGCUUUGCAUCAUUCUGGGACACAGGUUUUUCGGCCACCUUCAAGAUGACAUCUGCUCAGAAUGAUUAGUAUAGGCCUAUAAAGAGCACUUUGGCCCAUUUGCAAAGCACACUGUCAUGCUUGGGAUUGUUCUGGUGAUAGCGAUCACAAUAGCUAUUUGCAAGUAACAUUUGUACCCGACACAUGAAACAUUGACAUGGGCGUCCCUAGGAAGGGGAGGGUUAGCUCUUCCGAAUGGGGGAAGAUAGUAACAAAAGUA